UCCACGCGUGCGCAGGUUUAUAAUACACACCGGGACGCUGUCAUUAAUCGACGGCAGGAACGUGUUGAUGCUACAAGGUGUGCAGGUGGGAAAGUCCCACAGUAUCACGCUGUCGACAGGAGAAAGACAGAGAGAGAGAAAGAGUUGGCAGCGGGAUUGACUCCCCGUAUCGAGGCAGCCCCACUGGCUCACCGUCGCACACACACACACACACACACGCACACACACACACACACAUGCACACACCCUCAGAUCACAGACCGAGCUUUCAUGCUUCAACACAGAUCUGCUCCCAACCGUGGAGGAAACUGUGCACAGAUAUGAGAUAGCGGUUGUUAUAAAUAAAUCACAAAUUCAGCUCCUGGUUGGAAUAUAGCUAGAGUUUGGUUAUUUCCUUCUCUUUAGUAAUAAAUAAAGACAAUAUUCACAGGAAUUCUUUUUUUUAACAUAAAUGUUCGCAGGGUCGAGAGGAUGAGACAUGCCACCUUGACUUCCAUUGUUUAAUAAGACGUGUCAACAAGACCACAAUCCUCAAACCGUCAGGAGGGGUAACUUAAUCUUUAUCGCUCUGACCUCCCGUUUUAUACGGCCGCUAAAGUUGCAGGGCAGGACUUAAAAGGUCAGACUUUAUUUGACCGCAAUUGUGCUUCUACACUCACAGCAUUCAGGAGGGAGGCUUUGAAGUUUCAACGCGCGCAUCAGGGUCUACGAUCUGCCUCUCGACGUAAUGGUGUCCAUAAAGAAAGACAACACCGAUCUCGUCUAGACACAGGUUCAACGCGCCGGCUGACAUCUCCGACCAGCACACAGCGGAGCAGAUGCUCCAGGACCAUUCAGCUCCGUUUCCUUUUUGUCUCCUAUUCCGCGCAGGUACUUUAGGGUCGAAACAAACGACCCU